AUUUUUAAUAAGCUAGUUAAUAUUAGUUCACGAAGGACUAGGAGCUAACCGGGUGCAACUAUUAGGUUGUAAAUUACAUGUGGCACCAUUUAUAGAAUAGAUUUGGUUAGGGGUGAUAGGCUUUUCAACUAGUCAGAUAUCUUGAACUGUGGAAAAAAUAUUGAGUAUAUUGUCACUUAAGAAAUGGUUAGGUUUCUUAAAAACAUUAACUAAGGUAAUAAGUUUUUAGGAUAUUUAACUGUUGCUACUUUAUUGUCCAGAUAAUAUAAUACUCUUGGCUUAUGGAUUUUACCACAGGUUUUCUUUUAACAGAUAAUAGGUUCUUAAUGAAAGUAUAAGUAUUAUAGAAGGGAUAUUUUGGUGAGGAACUCGGCAAAGAGGCUUGCUCGACUGUUUAUCAAAAACAUAGCUAGAUGAUAUUACGUUUAGUUGUUUCUGCUCAAUGAUUAUUUUAAUAGCCGCAGUA
rnacentral:rRNA from 1 species